UGGGAUGGCCCUUCUGGCCAUGCCCUGCUGAGCCAGGAUUAAGGAAAGUGUCAGCCGCCUCCUUACCAGGCCCUGUGCUGGGGUCAGGAGGACCGGGAGGAGAGGGAAGGGGUGAGAGGAUGGACUCUGCUGUUGUAGUGUGAGCUCUGGAAUCUUUACGUUUUGGUAAAGGCAGGCCAGGGUCUUUGAGGAUCGAGUUGGGGAACCUUGCCUCUGUGUUUCCGAGACCCAGCUAAGGUGGGCCUUUGGUGGGUGACAGAGGUGGAUAAAAUAUUCCCCCCACACCCCACUGAAUGGCCAUCUCUUGCCCAGCCCUGCAUCAGCUGAGGUGACAGCAAUAGGCAACCCUUAUUGGUCACUGCUUGGCCCAGUGUGAGAACUUUGUUAUCUCCCUUGUCCUUCCCCCCAUAACCCACCCC
rnacentral:lncRNA from 1 species